UGAGCAAUCUGCCCUUCUCUUCGGAAUAAGUGUUGGAAACGACGUCUAAUGCCGAAUACGACCUCCUUUCGCAUGAUCGGAGGUGGAAAGCUCCGGCGGAGAAGGGAUGAGCUCGCGGCCCAUCAGCUAGUUGGUGAGGUAACGGCCCACCAAGGCGACGACGGGUAGCCGGCCUGAGAGGGUGACCGGCCACACUGGGACUGAGACACGGCCCAGACCUCCGUACGGGGAGGCCAGCGUAAGGG
rnacentral:rRNA from 1 species